rnacentral:rRNA from 1 species
UACGGAGGAUCCAAGCGUUAUCCGGAUUUAUUGGGUUUAAAGGGUGCGUAGGCGGAUUGAUAAGUUAGAGGUGAAAUGUCCGAGCUUAACUCGGGAACCGCCUCUAAUACUGUUGAUCUAGAGAGUAGAUGCGGUAGGCGGAAUGUAUGGUGUAGCGGUGAAAUGCUUAGAGAUCAUACAGAACACCGAUUGCGAAGGCAGCUUACCAAUCUAUAUCUGACGUUGAGGCACGAAAGCGUGGGGAGCAAACAGG